CUCUUUGCUUUUUUUUUUUAUCUAUAGCGCACACUCAUUUUCCUCGGAUCUUACUAAAAGGAGAGACGGAACGAAAGAGAUGCAGAAACAGAGAGAGCAAGGUCGCGGCUAAGCUAUAAGUAAACUAUGCCGCGCGGGGUUUCCCUUCGCAGCUGGACACGCGGCCAAUAUUACAAAACUUGGUCCAAUUCUACUGCGUUCCGACGGUUCGGGGACCUCUCUGCUAAUAUUGAGGCGCACCGCGGCGCGUCACCGUUAGAUUUUUGGCACGACGAAUAUUGUCAAAUUUUAUCGCGUAUUUAAAAAAUGUCUAAAAUGCUUCAUUUCGAAAUUCGAAUUUCACUAAUUACGUUCCUCGAAUCUCCGAACAUUUUUUCUAUUUUUUUUUUUCACUACGCGUCCGAAACUCGAAGGUUUUUACUUCUAUGAAAAUCCUCCGCAAACAAUUUUGAAAGACAUCGGCGAGUGAUUGCGAACCAGUGGGCCCGGGUCCUCGAAAUUUUUCAAAUAAUUGUGGAAAAACGCUGCGGCUAGCGGCUCCCGACGAUCAGUUUUCUUCAUUCGUCUCCAGUUUCUUCGCCUCCGUUGCGACGCGCCUCUUCCGAGUCGAGAUUAAUUUAAUCUCAAUUGCUCUCGUUGUUUCGAAGAAAACGUUAAAAGUACUUUUUCGAAGUGCUCGAGUUUCGUGCUCGUGGCAACGAGACGAGGGCGAAUUUAUUUCAAUACUAUCAACGAACGUCGUGAAGUGCGAUUCGCUAUUUUUUGCUGCCAUACCGAGCCUCUGGGAUGAAUUUCAUCUCAAUAGGUCGCGUUGUUUCGAGCGAGUCGCUAAGUACCUUCUUAAGUAGCGAUCAUGUACGAGAACAUUCGGAGACUCGUAUCGCUGCGGCCACUAUUUCAUUGAGUAAGUAAAACGACAGUGAAAAAAAUUUUAUUUCAAAUACUCCGACGAUACUUCCACCGUCCAACAUUCACCGGAAGCUCCAGCAUUAAAAAAUUUAGUAACUCGUACGCAAGACUCGUGGCCACGUGGUUUUUCGUUUGUACAACUUCGUACGCCCCACGAACGACACUAACGAGGGGAGAAUCGACCCGAAGACUUUCAGCCUCUCUUCCAGGGGGAAGUAAGUCUCUCGAAAGUGACGUUUAACCAAAGAAACCAUUACAUCAUCCAACGAUUGCUCUGAGACCAAUUUUUUGAAAUCUCGUUAUGUUAGGGAGGAAAUUUGAUGGAAAAUCGUCGAAGCAGAUGUCAGCAAGGGCUCAACGGAUACAAAACUAUUCGAUUAUCCACUACACAAUGCGAACAUGACAGACCAAAAAUACAAUGAACAUGGGAAUAAUACACAGUCGAAGGGAAGGGGUCAACGACGGGAACAUUGACAGAGAAUAAGAAACAGAGAGAAAGAGAAAUAGAGAGAGAGAGAGAGAGAGACAAUGAUAGUGAAGUGACACAGCUGAGACAGAACUUACGAGUGUAGGUCAUUUGGCCCUGGUAGUAGGAAGGGAGGUACACGUGUUGCGCGUGUGGCGGUUGUCCAUAGACAUUCAUGGUCGCCAUGCCGAUCUCAUCACCACCUACGUAUUAGUACGCCCAUCCAGUAUACAAGUCGUUCGAAUGGUGAAAUUGAUUUGAGAAGUUCAAAAUUAUCACAACUCUUACGAGUCCGAAAAACAAAAGCUCAACUCACGUUGGUGACCGCAUUGGGAUCCGCUUUGCUUUCAAGAAGCAAAUU